UGAAGCUGGAAUUGCUAGUAAUGGCAGGUCAGCAUACUGCCGUGAAUACGUUCCCGGGCCUUGUACACACCGCCCGUCACACCAUGAGAGUUGGAAAUACCCGAAGCCUGUGAGCUAACUUUUAGAGGCAGCAGUCGAAGGUAGAGCCAAUGAUUGGGGUGAAGUCGUAACAAGGUAAC
rnacentral:rRNA from 1 species